AGUGAACGCUGGCGGUAGGCCUAACACAUGCAAGUCGAACGGCAGCACAGUAAGAGCUUGCUCUUACGGGUGGCGAGUGGCGGACGGGUGAGGAAUACAUCGGAAUCUACUUUUUCGUGGGGGAUAACGUAGGGAAACUUACGCUAAUACCGCAUACGACCUACGGGUGAAAGCAGGGGAUCUUCGGACCUUGCGCGAUUGAAUGAGCCGAGGUCGGAUUAGCUAGUUGGCGGGGUAAAGGCCCACCAAGGCGACGAUCCGUAGCUGGUCUGAGAGGAUGAUCGGCGACACUGGAACUGAGACACGGUCCAGACUCCUACGGGAGGCAGCAGUGGGGAAUAUUGGACAAUGGGCGCAAGCCUGAUCCAGCCAUACCGCGUGGGUGAAGAAGGCCUUCGGGUUGUAAAGCCCUUUUGUUGGGAAAGAAAAGCAGCAGGUUAAUACCACGCUGUUCUGACGGUACCCAAAGAAUAAGCACCGGCUAACUUCGUG
rnacentral:rRNA from 1 species